rnacentral:rRNA from 1 species
CAAUGGGCGCAAGCCUGAUCCAGCCAUGCCGCGUGUGUGAAGAAGGCCUUCGGGUUGUAAAGCACUUUCGNUGGGGAGGAAGGCCAGUNGGUUAAUACCCGGUUGGNUUGACGUUACCCACAGAAUAAGCACCGGCUAACUUCGUGCCAGCAGCCGCGGUAAUACGAAGGGUGCAAGCGUUACUCGGAAUUACUGGGCGUAAAGCGUGCGUAGGUGGUCUGUUAAGUCGGAUGUGAAAUCCCCGGGCUCAACCUGGGAACUGCAUUCGAAACUGGCGGGCUAGAGUNUGGUAGAGGGUGGUGGAAUUCCNGGUGUAGCGGUGAAAUGCGUAGAGAUCAGGAGGAACACCCNUGGCGAAGGCGGCCCCCUGGACCAACACUGACACUGAGG